GCUCAUAAAGCAAAGGAAAAACAGCGGAGAGGAAAAUAUCAAAGUAUUUCAACGUCAACCAGCGCAGAGAUUAAUGUAGAUGAAUCUCUUGUUUUAUCUAAAUGUUCAGAUGAAAAUGACAAUGACGAAGUAGAAUCAGUAGUAUCAGAAAAUUCAGACAGUGAUCAAAGUGAUUUUGAAUCAUCAGAUUGGAGUGAUGAAGAUCUUAGUGACACUGAUGUCGAUUCUUCAGACGAACAAAAAGACGAUGACGAUGAGUCAAAAAAUGACGAAAACGAAAGCUUUAUUUGACUUGUUUUCUACAUUUUCUUCUACUCAAACUUUAAGCCUGUGAUUAUUAAACUCAUUAUAACUGGUAUAUUACAACGUGUAGGGUAUAAACAAGUGUUUAUGUGUAUAAAUACCAUGAUUAUAUUAUCAUAUUUUCAUAAUGUUAUGUUAAAAGAUGAUUUGGUACUUACAAUUACCGUCUCUUUAUUUUAUACAGAAUAUAUUUUAGUUCGAUUGUUUUGGGAACUAUAUACAACCAGUGAGAUAAUAUUUCAAAAAGUAAUAACAAUCUUAAAAUGUCUGCACGAUUUUUUAUAGAUCAUAAUUGCUGUUUCGACACUAAAGGGUGAGACAUUCUUCGUCAGAGUAUGUUUUACUAUGUAAAAAUAUAUUUUAAAAUGCUUUAUUUGAAAUGUGUAAAAUUAUGCUGUUUAAUAUGUGGACAAGCUAUUUCACAAGUUUUAUAUUUGGAUUUUCGUUCUGAAUGUCAUAAUUUCAUGUUUUAUAUGAUGACAAAUGUCAGUUAAUAUAGAUCUGGAUGUAAGUAUGUUAUGUACAUAAAAUGUAUACCAGUGUUUAUUUUUCAUAUUAAAUACGAAUCAUU